rnacentral:rRNA from 1 species
AGCCGCGGUAAUUCCAGCUCCAAUAGCGUAUACUAAAGUUGUUGCGGUUAAAAAGCUCGUAGUUGGAUCUCGGAAUGUGUUCAAGCGGGUCAGCUUCUGGCUGUGCGCUGCUUGACGUGUUCUUCUAUUUGGUUUUGGUGCGGUGCGCUUAACUGCGUGUCGCUCCCGGCCGAAACGUUUACCUUGAAAAAAUUAGAGUGUUCAAAGCAGACCUGUUUGAGUCUGAAUAUUCGUGCAUGGAAUAAUGAAAUAUGAAUUCGGUUCUAUUUUGUUGGUUUUCGGAACUCGAGUUAAUGAUCAAGAGGGACAGACGGGGGCAUUCGUACUCUGCCGUUAGAGGUGAAAUUCUUGGAUCGGCGGAAGACGCGCAACUGCGAAAGCAUUUGCCAAGAAUGUUUUCUUUAAUCAAGAACGAUAGUCGGAGGUUCGAAGACGAUCAGAUACCGUCCUAGUUUCGACUGUAAACUAUGCCAGCUAACGAUCAGACAGAGUUCUCUACGACUUGUCUGGCAGUUUCCGGGAAACCAAAGCGUUUGGGUUCCGGGGGAAGUAUGGUUGCAAAGCUGAAACUUAAAGGAAUUGACGGAAGGGCACCACCAGGAGUGGAGCCUGCGGCUUAACUUGACUCAACACGGGGAAACUCACCCGGCCCGGACACAGUGAGGAUUGACAGAUUGAGAGUUCUUUCUUGAUUCUGUGGGUGGUGGUGCAUGGCCGUUCUUAGUUGGUGGAGCGAUUUGUCUGGUUAAUUCCGAUAACGAACGAGACUCUGGCAUGUUAAAUAGUCGCGGAAGUGCGUAUGCACUUGCCGAAUUGACUUCUUAGAGGGACUAGUGAUUUUAAUUCACACGAGAUUGAGCAAUAACAGGUCUGUGAUG